AAUAGAUACCCCGGUAGUCCACGCCGUAAACGAUGAGUGCUAAGUGUUAGGGGGUUUCCGCCCUUAGUGCUGCAGCUAACGCAUUAAGCACUCCGCCUGGGGAGUACGGCCGCAUGGCUGAAACUCAAAGGAAUUGACGGGGGCCCGCACAAGCGGUGGAGCAUGUGGUUUAAUUCGAAGCAACGCGAAGAACCUUACCAGGUCUUGACAUCUCCUGACCCCCCUGGAGACAGGGUCUUCCCUUCGGGGACAGGAUGACAGGUGGUGCAUGGUUGUCGUCAGCUCGUGUCGUGAGAUGUUGGGUUAAGUCCCGCAACGAGCGCAACCCUUGUCCUUAGUUGCCAGCAUUCAGUUGGGCACUCUAAGGAGACUGCCGGCUAAAAGUCGGAGGAAGGUGGGGAUGACGUCAAAUCAUCAUGCCCCUUAUGACCUGGGCUACACACGUGCUACAAUGGGCGGUACAGAGGGUCGCGAACCCGCGAGGGGGAGCCAAUCCCAAAAAACCGCUCUCAGUUCGGAUUGCAGGCUGCAACUCG
rnacentral:rRNA from 1 species